AACAAUCCAGAAAAAAAGAAAAAUGUCUCAGAACAUCAGUCCCUUCACCGCCGCUGACUCCACUGUUCCUUAUAUUUUUUUUUUUUUGGGUAUCUUUUUCUUUGAAGUCAUUU
rnacentral:ribozyme from 1 species